CCUGCCACUGUACCUGUCUAGGAUGAAGUGGCUGGUACAAUCCAGUGGUGAGCUGAUAGAAAACACCAGCUUAGGAAACAGGGUUAUUCUCUCCGUGGGUAACUCUGUGCCAAAGUCUGGGAACACCA
ensembl:snoRNA